CCUACGGGUGGCAGCAGUGAGGAAUAUUGGUCAAUGGCCGAGAGGCUGAACCAGCCAAGUCGCGUGAGGGAAGACGGCCCUACGGGUUGUAAACCUCUUUUGUCGGGGAGCAAAGAGAGUCACGUGUGACUCAUUGAGAGUACCCGAAGAAAAAGCAUCCGCUAACUCCGUGCCAGCAGCCGCGGUAAUACGGAGGAUGCGAGCGUUAUCCUGAUUUAUUGGGUUUAAAGGGUGCGCAGGCGGAGGUGCAAGUCAGCGGUAAAAUUGCGGGGCGCAACCCCGUACUGCCGUUGAAACUGGAUCCCUUGAGUGCGCGAGAAGUAUGCGGAAUGCGUGGUGUAGCGGUGAAAUGCAUAGAUAUCACGCAGAACUCCGAUUGCGAAGGCAGCAUACCGGCGCGCAACUGACGCUCAGGCACGAAAGCGUGGGUAUCGAACAGGAUUAGAUACCCCAGUAGUC
rnacentral:rRNA from 1 species